AUUGGAGUGGGAAGAUGACACCAUCCAGUCUUUCCUUUCAAGAUUCAUCAAUUUUUACUGAGAUCAGUCAUUAUCUCUCAACUGUCCCAUUUUGAUUGGAGGUGUUGGAACUAUAUCCAGUUUAAAGAAGGAUGAAGAUGGUCGACCAGUAUUUGAAUUCAUUGAAGAAAAUUAAAAGCCUAAAAAUUUUCAGAUAUUUGUUAGAGAUCACCAAGUAUCAUACAGAUGCAACUUACAUAUGCAUGUUUCGUUCUUGAUGAAGACUUGGUCUAGUAUAUAAUUCAAAUGAAUCAAAUCUAUUUGAAUUAUUUGUUCUUGUUUUCGUAUAGGAAUACGAAUUGUUGUGCAAACUCUGUAAAUACAUAUGCAUCAAGCGCAUUCAAUAUACUGAAGAAAUCUGUAAAUAUAUCUA